AUUGAACGCUGGCGGCAGGCUUAACACAUGCAAGUCGAGCGGGGGAAGGUAGCUUGCUACCGGACCUAGCGGCGGACGGGUGAGUAAUGCUUAGGAAUCUGCCUAUUAGUGGGGGACAACAUCUCGAAAGGGAUGCUAAUACCGCACACGUCCUACGGGAGAAAGCAGGGGAUCUUCGGACCUUGCGCUAAUAGAUGAGCCUAAGUCGGAUUAGCUAGUUGGUGGGGUAAAGGCCUACCAAGGCGACGAUCUGUAGCGGGUCUGAGAGGAUGAUCCGCCACACUGGGACUGAGACACGGCCCAGACUCCUACGGGAGGCAGCAGUGGGGAAUAUUGGACAAUGGGCGCAAGCCUGAUCCAGCCAUGCCGCGUGUGUGAAGAAGGCCUUAUGGUUGUAAAGCACUUUAAGCGAGGAGGAGGCUACUUUAGAUAAUACCUAGAGAUAGUGGACGUUACUCGCAGAAUAAGCACCGGCUAACUCUGUGCCAGCAGCCGCCGUAA
rnacentral:rRNA from 1 species